UAAUUAAUUCAAGUAGGAUGUUGAAGAAGCUGCAAGACGUUAUGCAUUGUCUUGCAGCUUCUUCAACAUCCUACUUGAAUUAUUGUCG
rnacentral:pre_miRNA from 1 species